rnacentral:rRNA from 1 species
AUUGAACGCUGGCGGCAUGCCUUACACAUGCAAGUCGAACGGUAACAGGGGUGAUCGUACUUGGUGGCUAACGGCUGACGGGCGAGUAAUUAAUCGCAGCAUGUCCUGCUGUUGGGGGUGGCUAGCUGCAAGCAAGAUUAAUACAGACUACGUAACAUGGAUGAACGCGGGGGACCUUCGUGCCUGGCGCUUGCGGUCUGGCCGAUGGAGGAUUAGCUAGUUGGUGGGGUAAAGGCCUACCAAGGCGACGAUCAGUAGCUGGUCUGAGAGGACGACCAGCCACACUGGAACUGAGACACGGCCCAGACUCCUACGGGAGGCAGCAGUGGGGAAUAUUGGACAAUGGGCGAAAGCCUGAUGCAGCAAUGCCGCGUGUAUGAAGAAGGCCUUCGGGUUGUAAAGCACUUUUGGCCGGAAAGAAAGCAGUAACGCUAAUACAGUCGGUGAAUGACGUUACCGGAAGAAGAAGCACCGGCUAACUACGUG